GGAGACGUCGCAUAGUGGUCUAGUGCACUACCUUGGAAAGGUAGCAACGGGGAAACUCGUUCGAGGGUUCAAAUCCCUCCGUCUCCG
rnacentral:tRNA from 1 species